UCUGGGUNUCANGNCNAAUCUCUGUGGNUUGCGNCGUCAACCCAACCAUGGUGAUGNUNCUUCCCGGUGGAAUAGUCGUGUUACCUUUCUGCCGUGUCUAUUCAAUUGUGAAUGGAUGUUGGUUGUCGUUUCGGCGGCGGUCGACAUGCUUGCGGNUGGCCUUUACUGGUCGGCUGUAGUGGACGGCAAGUUUACUUUGAACAAAUUUGAGUGCUCAAAGCGGGCCAUAGUGCCUGAAAAGUCUUGCAUGGAAUAAUGAAAUAGGACUUCGGUUCUAUNNUGUUGGUUUUCGGAUCCGAAAUAAU
rnacentral:rRNA from 1 species